AAUGUUGUGUUUCUAUGGAUAUCCCAUGAAUUUAGAGAAAUAAUCGUUCCAAAAAAAUGUCAGAAAGUACUUUUUCUCACAGAUGUUUAUCACAUGGGUUACUAUCUCUCUCUGAGAUUGUCACAGCACUGACAUAAGAUAAUUUCAAGAUCAGGGUAGACAAGUAUAUGGCGAUAAAGUAUUCACAGUACUUCCGGAAAGGACAUGGGUUUGUGAAAAUAUGCUGUGGCUUUCAGAUGCAGCGACCAUCUUCAGCCCUGGAAGGAUAAUGUAAAUGAAAUAUUGACUGCAGUGUCAUGCUGUUAAUGGAUGACAAUACGUUGAAAUCAUACUUACUGCGUAUGGUGAUAGAGUGUCGGCAAUUGCUUUCUGCAGGUCUCAAACUGAAGGUGAUCAGUCAAGCGCUGAAAGUAAUCAGUGCUCAGAUGCAUUGAAUGAAUUACGUGGGAAAUGGAAAAAAGAGCGAUCUACUCUCCGCAGCUGUGCUUUCAAGGCUGGAAAUGCUUAUGCGGAAAGGACCAUAAGAAGAUUGGAGCUAGGAUGGAUGGAUUAAAGCAACCAAUCCAUGCAUUAUAAGCAAGUGAGGCAACGAUGAGGAGGUGGUGUCUGCCAUCUCACGGUUGAGAAAACACUUUCUUUAAAGGCAGUCCUUAACCAUGCUUUAGAUGCAUUCUUUCUAUCCGGCGUUUCCCAACGAGGUAUUCUACAAGAGUUUGAAACAGAACUGAAAGACUUCCAAGGCAUGUGUGUCAAUAUGGAAAAUACAAUCAACGAACUCUAUAUUGAGUCAAAAUUAAAGAUACUUUGGGUAUAUUUAUAUACCAAAAAGACGACUGAAAAGGUAGGAGAAGAGGUGCACACUGCGACCAACAAGCCGUCCAGUACAAUGGAAGAGGUGGCACCAGAGGUUCAGAUCGUGACCAGGGCGCUGAUUGCUGUUCUUGACGCAACUCUUCUUGCAUCCAGUGAGUGCAUGGUUGGAACAUAUUGGUGUGAAAUUGAA
rnacentral:lncRNA from 1 species